rnacentral:ncRNA from 1 species
AAUGGGUUCGCCCCGAGAUAGGGAUGUGGCUCCGUAGAGCAGUGCGGUCUUGCGCUGUCCGGUGCGCUCGCGUCGGCCUUGAAAAUCCGAGUGAGGGAGUGUGAUUUUCGUGCCGGACCGUACCCACAUCCGCAGCAGGUCUCAAGGUGAACAGCCUCUAGUCGAUGGACCAAUGUAGGUAAGGGAAGUCGGCAAAACGGAUCCGUAACCUUGGGAUAAGGAUUGGCUCUGAGGACUGAGCCGGUCGGGCUGGGGACCUGAAGCAGGAACGGCACUGCACCGGGACUGGGCGGGGCUCGCCGUUCACGCGGCGCGGCCAAGCCCGGACCAGCGUCGGGACCUUCCUGUGGAAAGCCUCAGCUGCGCGGCGUCUGAGGGCUUCGUGCCCAAAGUGCUAUGCUUCGGCCGGCAAAAAACAGUCAACUCAGAACUGGCACGGACCGGGGGAAUCCGACUGUCUAAUUAAAACAAAGCAUUGCGAUGGCCGCUGGUCGGUGUUGACGCACUGUGAUUUCUGCCCAGUGCUCUGAAUGUCAACGUGAAGAGAUUCAUCAAAGCGCGGGUAAACGGCGGGAGUAACUAUGACUCUCUGCGCAGCUACUGGAGAGACCAGCUGCUGCAGAUGGUGGACACGAGAGGGUUGAGGGAGGCACGGACAUGUGCUGCUGCGGCCUUCAUCCGGAACCCACCGCACUUUCUGAAUGGACGGGAGUAUGU